CGCAGCGUCGCGUAUUUUACGCGCGUCAAAAGCACGCCCCUAGCACCAACAGGAGGCGGCGCGACGGCCGCGCUGCAGUAUAAAAUCAGGAAGUCACCUGUCAAUCAACCGCAGCAAAGACACGAAACGCAAUGGAACAAAUAACUGUUGCCAGACAGAGGGGGUCUGCCCUUCUUCUCCUGCAAGGAGCAAGGAGAAGACAAAGGGUUUGGGUGCACCCCAUCAAUGAACGGAAACAAGAACAGGGGGUAUGCCACAAUCUGGUCCAGGAGCUCCGUGCAGAUCCUGAGAGGCACGCCAAUAUUUCAAUUUGCUACUAAGUGUGCAAUGGCAGAACCAUAUGGUGCAGCCUAUAUGAUGACCUAUAAUCUAGUCAUCAUAUAGGCUGCACCAUAUGGUUCUGCCAUUGCACACUUAGUAGCGAAUUGAAAUAUUGGCGUGCCUCUCAGGAUCUGCACGGAGCACCUGGACCAGAUUGUGGCAUACCCCCUGUUCUUGUUUCUGUUCAUUGAUGGGGUGCACCCAAACCCUUCGUCUUCUCCUUGUUCCUUGCAGGAGAACAAGGGCAGCCCCCCUCUGUCUGGCAACAGUUAUUUGUUC
ensembl:lncRNA